UACCACGGGGUGCUGGAUCGCGCGUCAUCCGAUGCGCGGGCCGGCUGAGAUCAUACCCGCAUAACCUGAUCCGGAUAAUGCCGGCGUAGGAAAU
rnacentral:ncRNA from 1 species